UGAAACAAAGAACCUUUCGUCAAGGUCAGUACUGAAACUAAGAAGCACUGGUUAAUGUGAGUGCUGAAACAACAAACAAAUGGUAAAGGUCAGAACUGAAACAACAAACCACUGGUCAAGGUGAGUGCAGAAACAAGGAACCACUGGUCAAGGUCAUUACUGAAACUAAAAACCAGUAGUCAUGGGCAGUGCUGAAACAAAGCACCAGUGGUCAAGGUCAGUUCUAAAACAAAAGAACCAGUGGUCAAGGUCAGUACUGAAACAAAGAAUCAGUGGUCAAGGUCAGUUCUAAAAUAAAGAACCAGUAGUCAAGGUCAGUACUGAAACAAAGAAUCAGUGGUCAAGGUCAGUUCUAAAAUAAAGAACCAGUGGUCAAGGUCAGUACAGAAACAAAGAACCACUGGUCAAGGUCAGUACUGAAACACAGAACAAGUGGUCAAGGUCAGUACUGAAACAAAGAACCACUGGUCAAGGUCAGAACUGAAACAAAGAACCAGUGGUCAAGGUCAGUACUGAAACAAAGAACGACUGGUCAAGGUCAGUUCUGAAACCAUGAACCACUGGUCAAUGUCAGUACUGAAACAAUGAACCACUGGUCAAGGUCAGUACUGAAACAAAGAACCAGUGGUGAAGGUCAGUUCUGAAACAAUGAACCACUGGUCAAGGUCUGUACUGAAACACAGAACUAGUGGUCAAGGUCAGUUAUAAAACAAAGAACCAGUAGUCAAGGUCAGUACUGAAACAAAGAAUCAGUGGUCAAGGUCAGUACUGAAACACAGAACCAGUGGUCAAGGUCAAUACUGAAACAAAGAACCAGUGGUUAAGGUCAGAACUGAAACAAAGAACCAGUGGUCAAGGUCAGUACUGAAACAAAGAAUCAGUGGUCAAGGUCAGUUCUAAAACAAAGAACCAGUGGUCAAGGUUAGUACAGAAACAAAGAACCACUGGUCAAGGUCAGAACUGAAACACAGAACCAGUGGUCAAGGUCAGUACUGAAACAAAGAACCACUGGUCAAGGUCAGUACUGAAACAAAGAACCAGUGGUCAAGGUCAGUACUGAAACAAAGAACCACUGGUCAAGGUCAGUACUGAAACAAGAACCACUGGUCGAGGUCAGUUCUGAAACAAAGAACCAGUGGUCAAGGUCAGUACUGAAACAAAGAACCAGUGGUCAAGGUCAGUUCUAAAACAAAGAACCAGUGGUCAAGGUCAGUACUGAAACACAGAACCAGUGGUCAAGGUAAAUACUGAAACAAACAACCAGUGGUCAAGGUCAGUACUAAAACAAAGAACCAGUGGUCAAGAUCAGUUCUGAAACAAUGAACACUGGUCAAUGUCAGUACUGAAACAAUGAACCACUGGUCAAGGUCAGUAUUGAAACAAAGAACCAGUGGUCAAGGUCAGUUCUAAAACAAAAAACCACUGGUCAAGGUCUGUACUGAAACAAAGAAUUAGUGGUCAAGGUCAGUUCUAAAACAAAGAACCAGUAGGCAAGGUCAGUACUGAAACAAAGAACCAGUGGUCAAGAUCAGUUCUAAAACAAAGAACCAGUGGUCAAGGUGAGAACAGAAACAAAGAGUCACUGGUCAAGGUCAGAACUGAAACAAAGAACCAGUGGUCAAGGUCAGAACUGAAAGACAGAACCAAUGGUCAAGGUCAGUACUAAAACUUAGAACCAGUGGUCAAGGUCAGUUCUAAAACAAAGAACCAGUGGUCAAGGUCAGUUCUAAAACAAAAAACCAGUGGUCAAGAUCAGCACUUAAACAAAGAACCAAAGGUCAAGGUCAGCACUAGAACAAAGUACCAAAGGUCAAGGUCAUUGCUGAAACAAAGAACCAGUGUUCAAGGUCUGUAUUUAAACAAAGAACCAGUGUUCACUGUUCAAGGUCAGUACUUAAACAAAGAACCAGUGUUCAAGGUCUGUACUGAAACAAAGAACCAAAGGUUAAGGUCAGCACUGAAACAAAUAACCAGUGGUCAAGGUCAAUGCAGAAACAAGGAAACACUGGUCAAGGUCAGUACCGUAAUAUGGAAAUGUUUGUCAAUGUGAUUAUUGAAUCAAGGAUCAAAUUGUUAAUGUUAGUACUUUUUCAAGGAUUCAGUGGUUAAUGUUAUGCUCAGGUAAUAUGUAGCAUCAAGAUUUGGUUGAGGGGGCCUUAAGGCCAGUGUACAUAGCACAGGGGUCUGUUGUAAUACAUAGAAGGGGUUGUUAAAGUUUUUAUUAAAAUGGCUUAAAAGGUAAAAACUCGUAAUAUGCUUAAUCAAAUUAUAAUUUCUUGGAAUUCAGUGGAUUAAUAUUACAUGUAUAUAAAUGUUUAUAUUAUACCAUUUUGAUAUUGACCAGAUCACCCAUGACAAAGCCUAUUGUAGUUCUGUCAAUAUUUGAUAACCAACAUUUGAUUAUGAAAAUUUGUGGCAUUAUAUGUGAAAACUUCAUAAUUCUGAAAUUGAUCAUGUAUAAGAAAUAAGUAUUGCAACUGGAAUAGUUUUUUAACCAGGUUUUCCGAAGGAAAAAACUGGUUAUUAGAUUGGCGAAUGCGGGCGGGCUGGCGGGCUGGCUGGCUGGCUGGCGGGCUGGCGGAAUAAGCUUGUCCGGGCCAUAACUAUGUCGUUCAUUGUCAGAUUUUAAAAUCAUUUGGCACAUUUGUUCACCAUCAUUGGACGGUGUGUCGCGCGAAAUAAUUACGUCGAUAUCUCCAAGGUCAAAGUCACACUUUGAGUUCAAAGGUCAAAAAUGGCCAUAAAUGAGCUUGUCCGAGCCAUAACUAUGUCGUUCAUCGUCAGAUUUUAAAAUCAUUUGGCACAUUUGUUCACCAUCAUUGGACGGUGUGUCGCGCGAAAUAAUUACGUCGAUAUCUCCAAGGUCAAGGUCACACUUUGAGUUCAAAGGUCAAAAAUGGCCAUAAAUGAGCUUGUCCUGGCCAUAACUAUGUCAUUCAUUGUGAGAUUUUAAAAUCAUUUGGCACAUUUGUUCACCAUCAUGGGACGGUGUGGUCCCACGAAAGAAUCACGUCAAUAUCUCCAAUGUCAAGGUCGCCACGACUAAAAAUAGAUUUAAAAAAAAAAAAACUUACAAAGGGGGUUAAUUUUUUUUGGUCAUUUCAAAAGUUCAGUUUGAGUUUUCUCCCUUUAUCAGAUUUUUUUUUCACAAUGAAAACCUGGAUUUGUGACAAUUUUGUC